GCAGCUCCACCCCCUAACACCUGCCAGAGGACCUGAUAGAAGACAGGACGCCUCCACACAUUCAUCCACCUCCACCGCUGCUCUUCACCACUUCACCUCCUCUACUCCAGUCUCCAGUGAUCUGAUGAUCUGACUGGCUGAGGCAGGUGGAGCUGCAGGUGUUUCCACCACAGAAGAAGAGAAGGAAAAGGAGGGAAGGAACCAACGAAGAAGAAAGCUGAGAGAGACAGCUGAGGUUCAUCUGGACAGCAAACACCUCCAGGACUUCCAGGACCUCCAGGAUCUAUCACAGUCUGUCCUGAGCAUGUCGUCGUCUCAGAGCACAUCUGGACCCAAACAUCUGUGUCUGUGGCUCCACCGUUUCUCCUCACCCUCCCCUCCCCCUCCUCCUCCUCUUCCUCUCCCUGUCAGCUGUGGCGUCCCCUCCUCUCACCCGGCGUCUCGGCGUCUCCCCCUGCUGGUCGUCCCGCUGCUCUGCAGUCUGCUGCUGAUGCUGCUGCUGCUGCUGUGGAACUACCACUGCCUGUUCAUCUCCAACAUCUGCUCCCCACCGGAGGAGGUGCAGCAGGAGGAGGGGAAGAAGGGAGGGACCAUCGUGACCCCGUGGCAGUGAUGGCGGCGCCGCUCACACCUCCUGGAACCAGUCUGAACCGGCUCAGUCCUUAAGAAACCAGACAGAGAAGAUAAAGUUUGUCAGAGUUCAGAUUUUACAAUGUUUUACUUCAUAAUCUACAAAAACUACAAAACUACAAAAGUACAGAAACUCAAAACUACAAAAACUACAAAACUACAGAAAUUCAAAACUACAAAAACUACAAAACUACAGAAACUCAAAACUACAAAAACAACAAAACCACAUAAAGUCUGACAGAGAUGAUUUAACAGGAGAAGACGAGGACUGUCCACAUUAAAAUAUGAUCUGGAUGUUUCUCCUCCGCAGUCGUUGUUGUUGAGCAGCAGGUGGAGACAUCCUGAUUCUUUGUCCACAAACACUGGCUCCUACAUUUCCCAUGAUGCACCUGGAUAUAGUUUUUUUUUUUUUUUGUACAUUUCUGAAAAGUUUUAAUUGUAAUUGAAACCAAGGAAUCUAUCAAAUAAAAAUAAGAAUAUAAAAAGAUAAAAAAUAGGCAAAAUGUUUCAACGCAGACUGAUGACAUCACUGUGACAUCAUCAGGGUUAUUUUUCCUUCAGUGUGAAAAAAAGUGUUAGAAUUUACAAAAUAAAAGCUCCUCGAUCA